rnacentral:rRNA from 1 species
CCUGGCGGCGAUAGCGCGGUGGUCCCACCUGACCCCAUGCCGAACUCAGAAGUGAAACGCCGUAGCGCCGAUGGUAGUGUGGGGUCUCCCCAU